CUACACAUUAUAUGAUUGUGUUUGUCCGGUUUCUAACUUGGGGACAUUGUCCGCGUCCGUAAGAACCAAAAAAGGCUUGUCAAUACAUUCUCUACUGUCUUGCUGUGGCUGGGACAGCUUGACAGAAACUUCAAUCUCUGCUAAAAGAUCAGUCUUUGUUAAGGCUUGGACCAUAAUGUGUCCUUAGAAAAAUUCAAUAUCUCUGCUAUGAAUUAUAUGGAGUCACAAUUCAAUAUCUUUGCUAUGAAUUAUAUGGAGUUACAAUUCAAUAUUUCUGCUCAUUUGAUGGAGAGUAAAAAGUCCUUUGGACAAUGAUAUCUAUAAGAAAGUUUCAAUUCUCUGCUUAUACAAUAAUUCAAUGUUCUGCAAAAUUUGAUGGAGAGGAAAAGAUACAGUCUACAAAGCAGGGCUUGGUUAAUAUAUGGCUUGGCCUUGAUGUGAACAUUCAAUAUCUCUGUUACAGAAAACUUCAGUCUCUGCUAAGAUCAGACUUGUACAGUGAUUUUCUGGAGAAAAUUCAAUGCUCUGCUUAAAAUAUAUAGAACUCAAUAUUCUGCUAAUUAUUGAUGGAGAGAAAAAAAAAAUGUUCUUUUGUAGGACUUGUGGUUGCUGGGGCUGGGACAGCUUGAUAACAGAAGCUAGAUGUUCUUGGGGCAGAGAUAUUACGACUGUAAGUAAAAGCCUUUCAAAACUACAUCCCAAGAUUGGAGAUAUCAAUCUCUACUAAUAUGAGUUCUAUUGUCUUGCUGAGCUGGGACAGCUUGACAUUAACUUCAAUCUCUGCUAAGAUUAGCCUCUAUUAAGGCUUUGGACAAUGAUGUCCUGAGAAAUUGAGAAAUUCAAUUCUCUGCUUAAAUUAUAUGGAGUACAAUUCAAUAUUCUGCUAAUUUGAUGGAGAGUAAAAGUCCUUUUAAGGCUUGUUUAAUGCCUUUGUAAGAUUGGAAAGCUCUGUUGUCCGAUCAAAGAUAUUGUGCUGAAGCUGGCAGCAUCUUUAAAAUUCAAUAUAAUCUGCUAUAAAAAAAACUUCAAUUUCUGCUAAGUUCAGACUUGUACAGUGUUGUCUGGAGAAAUUCAAUUAUCUGCUUAAACUAUAAAAGUCAGUGUUCUGCUAACUGAUGGAGAGAAAGUAUCAUAUUCAAUGUUCUGCUAACUGAUGGAGACUAUAUGUCCUUAAUUACGGCUGGUUUUGCUGGGACUGAGACAACAUGAUUCACAUUCAAUAUUCUCUUUUGAUCAGCUUCAGAAGCCCAAGAACUAGAGCGUGUACAUGAUCUUUCUCAGGAUUAGCUGAACGAGCAGGUAUGUUUCUGAAUCCUCUAACUGUUUGUUUCUAAGAAGGAGCAGAGCUUUCAGCAGCUUUUGUCUCUGAAAAAGAAAGAAGAAGACUUUUGUUUCUCAGAAAACAUAAUAGAAAUUGGAAAUUCAACCUCUUUUCAAGCAUUAGAGACACGCCUGAACCGGCAGCUAUUGAUCAGGGGCAUGUUUGGAGCUUCUGUGGGGCACGUCGUCUUCAACACUACUCUUUCCAAGUGGAUUGUUUGCUUUAGGAUUAAACAAAACUUCAACUAAGUUGCUCCCACAUCUCUAAUGCUAACACUGAUAUAAACAUAAAAACACUUAACACACGAACACCCACAUACACGAAACGUGACCAUAAAACACAAACGAAAAUUGUCUACCCACAAUCUCACACGCUGAUACAAACACACACGUUUCACGAACACAGAGACACUGAAUGUAAACGUAAACAUAACUUUUGUGUACCAAACGCUAAUACUAACAAACUUAAAUGCAAAAGAAAAAAAUAACGUGAACUGAUUCAGUUGAAGUUAGUGUUUGUUUAGUAGUAGUAGCAUCAGAUGAUCGUUCUCUUAAUUUUCAACAGACCAAAUCGUUGAAUAACCGACAUUAGUUAAAUCCAAGUUGAACCAAACCGAGAUAGCUGCAAAACGCAUGUGCAAAAGAAAUUGCGAACCUCUUCACUUCUCCUUAUCAUAUAAUCAGCUUCUCUUAAGACUCACAAGUUUUCAACUAAAUGA